rnacentral:rRNA from 1 species
GGCGGACGGGUGAGUAACGCGUAGGAAUCUACCUAGUAGAAGGGGAUAGCCCGGGGAAACUCGGAUUAAUACCGUAUACCUCCUUCGGGAGAAAGAAGGCCUCUCUUUGAAGCUUUCGCUAUUAGAUGAGCCUGCGUAAGAUUAGCUUGUUGGUGAGGUAAAGGCUCACCAAGGCGACGAUCUUUAGCUGGUCUGAGAGGACGAUCAGCCACAUUGGGACUGAGACACGGCCCAGACUCCUACGGGAGGCAGCAGUGGGGAAUAUUGGACAAUGGGCGCAAGCCUGAUCCAGCCAUACCGCGUGUGUGAGGAAGGCCUUCGGGUUGUAAAGCACUUUAAGCAGGGAGAAAAAGUUAUAAGUUAAUACCUUAUAACCGUGAUGUUACCUGCAGAAUAAGCACCGGCUAAUUCCGUGCCAGCAGCCGCGGUAAUACGGAAGGUGCAAGCGUUAAUCGGAAUUACUGGGCGUAAAGCGCGCGUAGGUGGUUUGUUAAGUUGGAUGUGAAAGCCCUGGGCUCAACCUAGGAACUGCAUCCAAAACUAACUCACUAGAGUACGAUAGAGGGAGGUAGAAUUCAUAGUGUAGCGGUGGAAUGCGUAUAUAUUAUGAAGAAUACCAGUGGCGAAGGCGGCCUCCUGGAUCUGUACUGACA